GUAAGGCUCCUUCUGACCUCC
rnacentral:miRNA from 1 species